CCUACGGGAGGCAGCAGUGAGGAAUAUUGGUCAAUGGCCGGAAGGCUGAACCAGCCAAGCCGCGUGAAGGACGAAGGUGCCAAGCAUUGUAAACUUCUUUUGUCAAGGGACAAAAUCAGGCUCGAGAGCCUGACCGAGGGUACUUGAAGAAAAAGCAUCGGCUAACUCCGUGCCAGCAGCCGCGGUAAUACGGAGGAUGCGAGCGUUAUCCGGAUUUAUUGGGUUUAAAGGGUGCGUAGGCGGACUGUUAAGUCAGCGGUAAAAGCCCGGGGCUCAACCCCGGCGAGCCGUUGAAACUGGCUGUCGUGAGGUGUCGAGAGGUAUGCGGAAUGCGCAGUGUAGCGGUGAAAUGCUUAGAUAUUGCGCAGAACUCCGAUUGCGAAGGCAGCAUACCGGCGGCGAUCGGACGCUGAGGCACGAAAGCGUGGGUAUCGAACAGGAUUAGAUACCCCAGUAGUC
rnacentral:rRNA from 1 species